AUUGAACGCUGGCGGCAGGCCUAACACAUGCAAGUCGAGCGGAUGAAGGGAGCUUGCUCCUGGAUUCAGCGGCGGACGGGUGAGUAAUGCCUAGGAAUCUGCCUGGUAGUGGGGGAUAACGUCCGGAAACGGGCGCUAAUACCGCAUACGUCCUGAGGGAGAAAGUGGGGGAUCUUCGGACCUCACGCUAUCAGAUGAGCCUAGGUCGGAUUAGCUAGUUGGUGGGGUAAAGGCCUACCAAGGCGACGAUCCGUAACUGGUCUGAGAGGAUGAUCAGUCACACUGGAACUGAGACACGGUCCAGACUCCUACGGGAGGCAGCAGUGGGGAAUAUUGGACAAUGGGGGAAAGCCUGAUCCAGCCAUGCCGCGUGUGUGAAGAAGGUCUUCGGAUUGUAAAGCACUUUAGGUUGGGAGGAAGGGCAGUAAGUUAAUACCUUGCUGGGUUGACGUUACCAACAGAAUAAGCACCGGCUAACUUCGUG
rnacentral:rRNA from 1 species